GGGCGAUUGGUUUAGUGGUAUAAUACCCCCUUAGCACCCGGAUUUCGAUCCAACAGACUUGGGGGUGGUCCAGGGUUCGAUUCCCUGAUCGUCCA